GACGAACGCUGGCGGCGUGCUUAACACAUGCAAGUCGAACGGAAAGGCCCCUUUGGGGGUCCUCGAGUGGCGAACGGGUGCGUAACACGUGAGUAACCUGCCCUUGACUUCGGGAUAACUUCAGGAAACUGGGGCUAAUACCGGAUAGGAAUCCUUGCUGCAUGGUGGGGGUUGGAAAGCUUCGGCGGUUUUGGAUGGACUCGCGGCUUAUCAGCUUGUUGGUGGGGUAGUGGCUUACCAAGGCUUUGACGGGUAGCCGGCCUGAGAGGGCGACCGGCCACAUUGGGACUGAGAUACGGCCCAGACUCCUACGGGAGGCAGCAGUGGGGAAUAUUGCACAAUGGGCGGAAGCCUGAUGCAGAAACGCUGCGUGCGGGAGGACGGCCUUCGGGUUGUAAACCGCUUUCAGCAGGGGCGAAGCUUGUGGUGACGGUACCUGCAGAAGAAGCACCGGCUAACUACGUG
rnacentral:rRNA from 1 species